AACCUGCCCCAGACUCUGGGAUAACACCGGGAAACCGGUGCUAAUACCGGAUAUGACACGAGGAGGCAUCUCCAUCGUGUGGAAAGAACUUCGGUCUGGGAUGGACUCGCGGCCUAUCAGCUUGUUGGUGAGGUAAUGGCUCACCAAGGCGACGACGGGUAGCCGGCCUGAGAGGGCGAUCGGCCACACUGGGACUGAGACACGGCCCAGACUCCUACGGGAGGCAGCAGUGGGGAAUAUUGCACAAUGGGCGCAAGCCUGAUGCAGCGACGCCGCGUGAGG
rnacentral:rRNA from 1 species